AGUGAACGCUGGCGGUAGGCCUAACACAUGCAAGUCGAACGGCAGCACAGUAAGAGCUUGCUCUUACGGGUGGCGAGUGGCGGACGGGUGAGGAAUACAUCGGAAUCUACUUUUUCGUGGGGGAUAACGUAGGGAAACUUACGCUAAUACCGCAUACGACCUACGGGUGAAAGCAGGGGAUCUUCGGACCUUGCGCGAUUGAAUGAGCCGAUGUCGGAUUAGCUAGUUGGCGGGGUAAAGGCCCACCAAGGCGACGAUCCGUAGCUGGUCUGAGAGGAUGAUCAGCCACACUGGAACUGAGACACGGUCCAGACGCCUACGGGAGGCAGCAGUGGGGAAUAUUGGACAAUGGGCGCAAGCCUGAUCCAGCCAUACCGCGGGGGUGAAGAAGGCCUUCGGGUUGUAAAGCCCUUUUGUUGGGGAAAGAAAAGCAGCAGGUUAAUACCCCGCUGUUCUGACGGUACCCAAAGAAUAAGCACCGGCUAACUUCGUG
rnacentral:rRNA from 1 species